rnacentral:rRNA from 1 species
AUGACAAGUCGGCAGGUGGUUAAUUUUGUACACCAAUGCUUGCAAUCGGAGGAGAAAGAUCCGGGAACCAUCUGUGAAAAACUUCUUGAUUCAUGCCUGCGCGAGGGCUCAAAGGAGAAUUUGACCAUUAUACUGGUUCAAUUCAAGGCCACCGCCCAUGGUGGAGCUGAAGCCAAUGUUGCUCAUGGUGGAACUGAAGCCAAUGUCGCCCAUGGUGGAGCCGAUCCCGACACGGGAACUGAUGAUAUCGAGAGCAAAGGGUCAGGUAGCCGCAGCCCUAAGCCCUUAGAGAUCGAGGCCCAGGAAUCUGGCUCCAAAAAAGAAAGUGCGACGAGGAUGCUUCAGCUGGGGUUGGCUAAAGCACGAGGAAUGCUAGGCGUGCCCAGAGUUUGA